rnacentral:miRNA from 1 species
AAUCAUAAUUUUGGCUGCUGGCUACAGUGGCCCUGAGGUGCAAAUCAGAAAAUACAACACAAAAAGAAAACACAACAGCAAAUCAGUGACAAUUGAUGUCGCCUGAGGGUACCAACAUUUUCCGGUUUGGUUUUGUUGUCUGAUUUGUCUUUGAGUUUUCUCUUUUUUUGUGUUGUGUUUUCUGAAUUGCCACAGUGAUUUGCACCUCAGGGCCACCGUAGCUGGCAGCUCCUCUGAU